rnacentral:rRNA from 1 species
AAUGAACGUUGGCGGCGUGGAUUAGGCAUGCGAGUCGUACGAGAACCCGCAAGGGGGAAAGUGGCGAACGGGGUAGUAAUGCGUAGGUGACGUGCCCUGCGGUCGGGGAUAGCUUAGGGAAACUUAAGGUAAUACCCGAUAAUCCCAUGAGGUUUGAAGACCAUAUGGGCAAAGGUGUGAUUCCACCACAGGAGCGGCUUGCGUGGUAUUAGCUAGUUGGUGAGGUAACGGCUCACCAAGGCUUCGANGCCUAGGGGAUGUUAGCGCAUGAUCCCCACCACUGGGACUGAGAUACUGCCC